CUCGUCAGAGGCUAGUUUUGCAUUGCAGCCCGAGAGGAUAUGUGCGCUCUUGCUGGACGAGGGGGGAUGGAGCAACUUCAAAGCAAGGAAACAGCGAGCCAAUAGCCCGAAGCGCCAGUGAGCCGUCAUGAAGAAGAGAAGUGCGGAUUCCUGUUGACCAGCUCUGCAGGACUGUCGGGCUCAUUCCCGAGGCGUGCCCAGUGCUGAACCGGUGCUGAGGUCAGCUGUAAUGAUGUGUGUGACCAGACGCAUUAGGAAUGACAUCGCGUUACAUCGCGACAACUAUCUCACAGCUACAUAAGAAUGUGUGAUUCUUACGUUUUCACGGGCUCAAAACUACUGCAAGAUAUAGUUUAUAAAUGUCUUUGAAAUCACUUUGUUGGAUUAAAUGGUCUAUUACGAUUCUUAACAUUUAUUUUCAUUCUGUACUAUAACAUUUUGUUUCGAUUGCAGCUUUUAAAUGGAUUUUCACCGGUACCGAAUAAAGUGCAUUCACCAACUACUCCAAUA